GAUGAACGCUGGCGGCGUGCCUAAUACAUGCAAGUCGAGCGAAAAGACGAGGAGCUUGCUCCUCUGACGUUAGCGGCGGACGGGUGAGUAACACGUGGAUAACCUACCUAUAAGACUGGGAUAAAUUCGGGAAAACGGAGCUAAUACCGGAUAAUAUAUUGAACCGCAUGGUUCAAUAGUGUAAGACGGUUUUGCUGUCACUUAUAGAUGGAUCCGCGCCGCAUUAGCUAGUUGGUAAGGUAACGGCUUACCAAGGCAACGAUGCGUAGCCGACCUGAGAGGGUGAUCGGCCACACUGGAACUGAGACACGGUCCAGACUCCUACGGGAGGCAGCAGUAGGGAAUCUUCCGCAAUGGGCGAAAGCCUGACGGAGCAACGCCGCGUGAGUGAUGAAGGUCUUCGGAUCGUAAAGCUCUGUUAUUAGGGAAGAACAAAUGUGUAAGUAACUAUGCACGUCUUGACGGUACCUAAACAGAAAGCCACGGCUAACUACGUG
rnacentral:rRNA from 1 species